rnacentral:misc_RNA from 1 species
UUCAUGAAGAGCUUCGAGGCGAUCAAUCGGUUCGUUAAAACAGCCGAAUCGGGACUCGAUAGGAAGUGAUUUUUACUAAUCGGUGAGGGAAGAUCCUCGUGACCAAGAAUACGCACGAUUCACAAUACCGAUUGUCCCACACUGGCACAUUUGACUCUAGACUCAGGAGUUUGUUCGUCACUAAAUCCAGCAUCGACCGAUCUUCGCAACAAGGACAUCAACACUGCAACAAUGAACCCAUCGCACCGUGCUUCACAACUACGGGUCGGUGAUUUCCGGUGUGCUUCGUGUUUAUUCGGAUUUCCACGUUCUGUGUGGUGCAGAGACGAGAUUCUGAGAGACCAAACUCUUCGACAUGCUGUCCUGAGAUGCGAAUGCCUCUGUACCGACUAACCAAAGAACGCAGCCGCCCAGCUUCGGCUCCAGCAACUGAGUUCGACAUUCUUGAACCACGUGCUUCUCAAAGCGGGUUACGAUACCGGUGCUGCGCUCCAGCAGAUGUCCAUGGAUUUCUCCAACUGCAAAAGUACAUCGUCUGGAGAUACAAAUUGGAAAGUCUAAAUGGAAUUGAGUCUUCGAAUCAAGUUUGUGUAAAUACGAGGCCUUAGCAAACAUAGAAAUGCAGUUAGUCGACAAGUCGGCACUGUCCAUUUUUCUUUACACGCGUGGUAUUUCAUUCUCUGUACGCCAAUAACGGCAAGUAUGUUCAAGCUGUUAAGAAAGUCGUAAAAAGGCUUGGAAAUACACAUCGAAUCGUUUAUAUCAGAUAAUAUGUCGAUAGGAUUUUUUUCCCUCUUCCUGUCUCUCGAUUACACUAAUGCUCUUAUCUUAUCGAUGAAAAAAUUCGAUAUCAUCUUGAGAGUUGAACAAUGCUAGAUGUUUUCGAGAGAGAGUAAAUACAUUGAUUUCAGGAAUACCCGCGUUGCAUUUGCUUCGAAAUACGUCGCACGAUUCAUUCAAUAUGAAAAAAAUAAAAAAAU